rnacentral:pre_miRNA from 1 species
GUAGUACUCCCUCCGUCCGGAAAUAGUUUUCAUCAAAAUGAAUAAAACGGGAUGUAUCUAGAUGUAUAUUAGUUCUAGAUACAUCUUUUUUAUCCAUUUUGAUGACAAGUAUUUUCGGACGGAGGGAGUACUUG